GACGAACGCUGGCGGCGUGCUUAACACAUGCAAGUCGAACGGAAAGGCCCUGCUUUUGCGGGGUGCUCGAGUGGCGAACGGGUGAGUAACACGUGAGUAACCUGCCCUUGACUUUGGGAUAACUUCAGGAAACUGGGGCUAAUACCGGAUAGGAGCUCCUGCUGCAUGGUGGGGGUUGGAAAGUUUCGGCGGUUGGGGAUGGACUCGCGGCUUAUCAGCUUGUUGGUGGGGUAGUGGCUUACCAAGGCUUUGACGGGUAGCCGGCCUGAGAGGGUGACCGGCCACAUUGGGACUGAGAUACGGCCCAGACUCCUACGGGAGGCAGCAGUGGGGAAUAUUGCACAAUGGGCGGAAGCCUGAUGCAGCAACGCCGCGUGCGGGAUGACGGCCUUCGGGUUGUAAACCGCUUUCGCCUGUGACGAAGCGUGAGUGACGGCAAUGGGUAAAGAAGCACCGGCUAACUACGUG
rnacentral:rRNA from 1 species